rnacentral:rRNA from 1 species
UACGAAGGGUGCAAGCGUUACUCGGAAUUACUGGGCGUAAAGCGUGCGUAGGUGGUUCGUUAAGUCUGUCGUGAAAGCCCCGGGCUCAACCUGGGAAUGGCGAUGGAUACUGGCGGGCUAGAGUGCGGUAGAGGAGAGUGGAAUUCCCGGUGUAGCGGUGAAAUGCGCAGAUAUCGGGAAGAACACCUAUGGCGAAGGCGGGUCUCUGGACAGUUCCUGACACUGAGGCACGAAGGCCAGGGGAGCAAACGGG